AAGACCUGUGAAACAUUAAUACACAUCCCUUGAAUGCAACUCAAGCACUUUAAUUAAGCUAAAGCCUC
rnacentral:tRNA from 1 species